GACGAACGCUGGCGGCGUGCCUAACACAUGCAAGUCGAACGGAGCACUUCGGUGCUUAGUGGCGAACGGGUGAGUAACGCGUGAGAAACCUGCCUUUCAGUGGGGGACAACAGUUGGAAACGACUGCUAAUACCGCAUAAUGUUAUUUGGGGGCAUCCCUGAAUAACCAAAGCUUUAUGUGCUGAAAGAUGGUCUCGCGUCUGAUUAGCUAGAUGGCGGGGUAACGGCCCACCAUGGCGACGAUCAGUAGCCGGUCUGAGAGGAUGAACGGCCACAUUGGGACUGAGAUACGGCCCAGACUCCUACGGGAGGCAGCAGUGGGGAUAUUGGGCAAUGGGCGAAAGGCCUGACCCAGCGACGCCGCGU
rnacentral:rRNA from 1 species